AUUGAACGCUGGCGGAAUGCUUUACACAUGCAAGUCGAACGGCAGCACGGACUUCGGUCUGGUGGCGAGUGGCGAACGGGUGAGUAAUGUAUCGGAACGUGCCCAGUCGUGGGGGAUAACGUAGUGAAAAUUACGCUAAUACCGCAUACGAUCUAUGGAUGAAAGCGGGGGAUCGCAAGACCUCGCGCGAUUGGAGCGGCCGAUAUCAGAUUAGGUAGUUGGUGGGGUAAAGGCCCACCAAGCCAACGAUCUGUAGCUGGUCUGAGAGGACGACCAGCCACACUGGAACUGAGGCACGGGCCAGAGUACUACGGGAGGCAGCAGUGGGGAAUUUUGGGCAAUGGGCGGAAGCCUGAUCCAGCCAUUCCGCGUGCAGGAUGAAGGCCCUCGGGUUGUAAACUGCUUUUGUACAGAACGAAAAGGUUUCUACUAAUACUAGGAGCUCAUGACGGUACUGUAAGAAUAAGCACCGGCUAACUACGUGCCAGCCGCCGCUGUAA
rnacentral:rRNA from 1 species